rnacentral:rRNA from 1 species
CGCGAACGCACCUUCGGGUGUUAUUAGAGUGGCGGACGGGUGAGUAACACGUGGGAACAUGCCUUUCGGUACGGAACAACGCUUGGAAACGAGUGCUAAUACCGUAUACGCCCUUAGGGGGAAAGAUUUAUCGCCGAAAGAUUGGCCCGCGCUAGAUUAGCUAGUUGGUAAGGUAAUGGCUUACCAAGGCGACGAUCUAUAGCUGGUUUGAGAGGAUGAUCAGCCACACUGGGACUGAGACACGGCCCAGACUCCUACGGGAGGCAGCAGUGGGGAAUAUUGGACAAUGGGGGCAACCCUGAUCCAGCGAUGCCGCGUGAGUGAUGAAGGCCUUAGGGUUGUAAAACUCUUUCAGAUGGGAUGAUAAUGACAGUACCAUCAGAAGAAGCUCCGGCUAACUCCGUGCCAGCAGCCGCGGUAAUACGGAGGGAGCUAGCGUUGUUCGGAAUUACUGGGCGUAAAGCGCGCGUAGGCGGCUUUGCAAGUAGGGGGUGAAAUCCCGGGGCUUAACCCCGGAACUGCCCUCUAAACUGCAGAGCUAGAAUCCUGGAGAGGUGAGUGGAAUUCCUAGUGUAGAGGUGAAAUUCGUAGAUAUUAGGAAGAACACCAGUGGCG